GCAAGUCGAGCGGACAGAAGGGAGCUUGCUCCCGGAUGUUAGCGGCGGACGGGUGAGUAACACGUGGGUAACCUGCCUGUAAGACUGGGAUAACUCCGGGAAACCGGAGCUAAUACCGGAUAGUUCCUUGAACCGCAUGGUUCAAGGAUGAAAGACGGUUUCGGCUGUCACUUACAGAUGGACCCGCGGCGCAUUAGCUAGUUGGUGAGGUAACGGCUCACCAAGGCGACGAUGCGUAGCCGACCUGAGAGGGUGAUCGGCCACACUGGGACUGAGACACGGCCCAGACUCCUACGGGAGGCAGCAGUAGGGAAUCUUCCGCAAUGGACGAAAGUCUGACGGAGCAACGCCGCGUGAGUGAUGAAGGUUUUCGGAUCGUAAAGCUCUGUUGUUAGGGAAAAACAAGUGCAAGAGUAACUGCUUGCACCUUGACGGUACCUAACCAGAAAGCCACGGCUAACUACGUGCCAGCAGCCGCGGUAAUACGUAGGUGGCAAGCGUUGUCCGGAAUUAUUGGGCGUAAAGGGCUCGCAGGCGGUUUCUUAAGUCUGAUGUGAAAGCCCCCGGCUCAACCGGGGAGGGUCAUUGGAAACUGGGAAACUUGAGUGCAGAAGAGGAGAGUGGAAUUCCACGUGUAGCGGUGAAAUGCGUAGAGAUGUGGAGGAACACCAGUGGCGAAGGCGACUCUCUGGUCUGUAACUGACGCUGAGGAGCGAAAGCG
rnacentral:rRNA from 2 species